rnacentral:rRNA from 1 species
AUUGAACGCUGGCGGCAGGCUUAACACAUGCAAGUCGAGCGGGGGAAGGUAGCUUGCUACUGGACCUAGCGGCGGACGGGUGAGUAAUGCUUAGGAAUCUGCCUAUUAGUGGGGGACAACAUCUCGAAAGGGAUGCUAAUACCGCAUACGUCCUACGGGAGAAAGCAGGGGGUCUUCGGACCUUGCGCUAAUAGAUGAGCCUAAGUCGGAUUAGCUAGUUGGUGGGGUAAAGGCCUACCAAGGCGACGAUCUGUAGCGGGGCUGAGAGGAUGAUCCGCCACACUGAGACUGAGACACGGCCCAGACUCCUACGGGAGGCAGCAGUGGGGAAUAUUGGACAAUGGGGGGAACCCUGAUCCAGCCAUGCCGCGUGUGUGAAGAAGGCCUUAUGGUUGUAAAGCACUUUAAGCGAGGAGGAGGCUACUCUAGUUAAUACCUAGGGAUAGUGGACGUUACUCGCAGAAUAAGCACCGGCUAACUCUGUGCCAGCCGCCGCCGUAA